ensembl:lncRNA
GAAAUUAUUCCGAAGUGGCUCUUUCCUUAGCCUCACAUUCUGAAACGGCUUUCUUNUACUGCUUCUUGACCGAAAAAGCCUGCGUGUGAACGGUGUGGACCAACGCGAGUCCGUUCCGUUUUCCCCGCAGUUGGAGCGAAGGAGGAUCAGCGGAAUGCAAGGAGGGGGAUCGUGGCGGCUUGCAGUGGGAGCAUUCGGGAAAGAGGUAGAGAGCGGGGACUUGUCUUGGGAGGGACGCUGCCGCCGCCGCAGCCCCCCCCCCCCACACACACGCACGCGGCGGCCGCCUCCUUUUGCCUUCUCUGCUGGAGAGGCGGGCGGGACUAGAGAGAGACCCGCUGCUGGCCGGCCGGCGGGCCGGACAGACACAGCGCUGCUGCUCCNGAGUGCACGGCGAGGGCUUUGGUCGCCCCAUGGCCCCGCCGCUGCUGCUGGCGCUGGCUGCUGCUGCUGCCGCUCUGGCUUGCUGCUCUUGCGCUGNAGCAGCAGCAGCAGCCGCGGCCGCGCCGUCGGGAAACCGCUUCUCUGAGGCGCGAGUGGCGCGCUGGGCGGCGGCGGCGCUCCGGCACGUGGCGGCCGCUCGGUGUCCUGAGCGCGGCGGGCUCUUGCCGCGGCCGCAGUGUCAGCGCCUGGCGCGGCUUUCCCAAGGCUCGGCUCCCGCCGUGUAUGUCUCGGAGCCCGGCCGGCCGGGCCACAAAGUGCGAGCGCUCCUCCCCGACGGCUGGGGGGACAUGCCCGAGGCGCCUCUCGUGCCCAGCGGCCGUAACCAGAGCGGAGCCCCGCAGCGCCCGGCUGGCGUUGCGCCUUUGGCACAAGAUGCCAUCCUAGUGCUGGACCCGACGCCGGGGGCCAAUUUCGGCCACCCACUCCUGCUUUUCUAUGUCGACUUCAACGUCAGCCCCCGACGAUGCCGUGGCCGUGACAGCCUUUACUUGGGNGGUUAUGAAUGCUUGACUCCAGCCCAGAGGAGCCGUUGUGAGAAUCAGCUGAAGCGCCGGCCAGGACGAGGCAAGGGGCGGAGCCAGUGGUCAACGGGGCGCAUUCGCCGGGAGGAGCCCCCAGUUGGUCUCUGUGAGAUUCAUUUUCUGCCCAUGGUGGUGGCAGCACAGGACCCAAAACGUCUGCAAAAGCUGCACUGCAUGGACCUCCAUGGAUACAGCCCGUGCCCUGAGCCGUUGCCCCUUAUCAGCUCCGGUUCCACAGCGGCUUAUUGUGAGCUCAACAAGAAUACACGACGGUGCCAUCGCCAGCAACUCCCAAUGUACAAAUCGUGCCGCAUGUAUCAGACGUGCGAUCAUGCAGUGCUGAUUGCAGGUGGUUGGCAGGAACAGGUUACAUACCCUCACCACGCCCAGCAUCUGCAGCAGUUCUACCAGAUGCUUCGACGGAACGGCUUCCGGCAAGAGCACAUCAAGGCAUUCUUUGCUAGUGAGGGGCAGGCCUCAGUGGCUGUGGAGAUCGGUGAGGUUCAUCCAGCCACAGAGAAGCUAGCCAUACGCUCCCACCUGGCCUUGGUCUGCAGGAGCAUGCACUGUGCCGACUCCCUGGUCCUCUACCUCAACAGUCCAGCAGCCAGCGAUGGCACAAUGUUGCUGUGGGACGCCAACCAUAAUGGCAUUGCUGAUCCGAAAGAGCGGUACUCCGUCUCGGAGCUCUUAGCCGACUUGGAAAGCUGCAACGCUCGCAGAGUCUUCCUUUUCCUUGACCAGAGUUACCCAGGGCCACUGACAAAAAAGCUGCGGGCAUCCCGGCACCAUCUCAAUGUGGUGCUGGUACGCAGCGGCACUACUGCCAAUGGNGGGUCUCCUCUGGCUGAGUUCUGGGCCAGACUGCAACCGGACCAGUGUCUGCUCCAACAUCUGUUGCCGGUGGGACCGUGGUCUGCAGUCAUGGCUUCUGGCACCCCUGUCCAGCUCCUCAAUGUCACCCUAGCAGGGGCACCUUGCCAUUCUGUGCCACCUCUUGGCGAGGAAGAGCGCCAGCGUCGCUACCACGGCUGUCAGAAUCUCCCCACCAUGCUAUGGUAUCAAAGGAGGCACCAGCAGCUGCUGCAGGAAGACGACUGA